AUGGCUUGCCAAGUGGUGCCACGUCCGCACCCGGGAUCCAAACCGGCGAACCCCGGGCCACCAAAGUGGAACGUGCGAACUUAACUGCUGUGCCACCAGCCUGACCCCCAAGCAUCAAGCGUUUUAAAAGCUUCUCAGCUAAUCAGAGAGCCAGGGCUGCAAGGCAACAGGUGAACAGAAUUCACAAGUGUGGCCCCUCUAAGGAGAGGUGAGACACCCAAACUGUGUCAUCUUUGACAGAACAUGGGAGGAAAAACUAGCAGCCAAAAGAGUAGAUCUCAAGCAUCACUCAUGAGAAACAGGGAGCUGGGCAGGAGACUGCAUGGAGCCCCUUCAGCGAGACAGUGUACAGAUGGGGAGUGGCUGCCUGUGGAGGACAAGCAUAAAACCCAGAACAUUUUCUCAUGCAAAGAAAAAGUCAUCUCCCACUAGGGCAGGAGCUGGAAAUUCUCUCACCUCCAGUCCUUGGCAAAAGGUCAGCCGUCACUGGGGAGGGGCAGAUAAUCGCACUACCUGCUACAAUCUACCGCCGCCGGGAGAGGCAGACCCCCAGUCAUGCUCGGAAUCCUGCGCUGAUAGAAAGGAUAGGGACAGGAAAAGGUCUUGCCAGUUACAAGGGGGGGUUCAGCUGCUGUGAGGGGAGAGGGCAGGAACGUGGAGAAAGUCCCACCCUCGAAGCUCAGGCCCCCAGAGCCUGCAUAAGACUGAGGCUGGGCUAGGAGCACCAAGAAAAUCAGCCUGCCCCCGUCAUGAGCAACAGCACGCUACUUAAGGGGGAGGAGCAGAGGCGUAGAGAGAGACAGCCCCCAGCCCGCCGGCCAUGGCCGGGUGUGCUGAAAGCUGGAGGUGGAACAGGAACACUGAGAAGAGCCCUCCAGCAUUCCAGGCCUCACACUGAAGCAAGAUCUCAGCAGUGUGAGGAGUUUGAAGUCUGUAGUAUCAUAACGACUAUAGCAACCACAAACCCAAACUUAGCUUAACUACCCCACACCGCAAUGGCCUGACAGAUGAAGAGGCAUGCCCGUUAUCAGGAGUAAAUACUAUUUAUCUACAUCAGGCUCUAUUACUCCUUUACAUAUAAUGUCUGGCAUCCAGUCAAACUUAAAAGGGAAAAAAGCAAGAAAAGACCCAUUUCCAAGAAAUGAAGUAGUAAACAGAACCAGACUGAGAGAUGGCCCAGAAGUUGAAACUAUCAGAAAGUGACUUGAAAACACUAUGAUUAAUCUAAUGAAAGAUCUAGGGGGAAAUGUGGACAAUAUGCAUGAACAGAUAGUGUAUCUCGGCAGGGAGAUGGAAACUGUAAAAAAAGAAAAUUGAUUCGCUAAAAUGAAAAACAUGCUAUCACUCGUGAAUUCCUUCAAAUGGCUUAUCAACAGACUAGACACAGAGGAAAAAAUUAGUGAACUUGAAAAAAAAAAGAAUUAGUGGGGCCAGCCCAGUGGCGCAACGGUUAAGUUUGCACAUU